rnacentral:rRNA from 1 species
UCAAGUUAUUAAGGGUGCAGGGCGGAUGCCUUGGCACUAGGAGCCGAUGAAGGACGUGAUAAGCUGCGAUAAGCUUCGGGGAGUUGCACGUAAACUUUGAUCCGAAGAUUUCCGAAUGAGGAAACUCACUUAGAGUAAUGUCUAAGUAUCGUUAAGUGAAUACAUAGCUUAGCGAGGGGAACCCGGGGAACUGAAACAUCUAAGUACCUGGAGGAAGAGAAAGAAAAAUCGAUUCCGUAAGUAGCGGCGAGCGAACGCGGAACAGGCCAAACCAAUGAAGUUUACUUCGUUGGGGUUGCGGACAUAUCAUUAACGAAGAGGUAUCGUAAGUGAAGAGAGUUGGAAAGCUCCGCUAUAAAAGGUAAUAGCCCUGUAGCUGAAACGAGAAGACUUUAGAUGUGAUCCAGAGUACCACGGGACACGUGAAACCCUGUGGGAAGCAGGAGGGACCAUCCUCCAAGCCUAAAUACUACCUAGUGACCGAUAGCGCAUAGUACCGUGAGGGAAAGGUGAAAAGAACCCCGGGAGGGGAGUGAAAUAGAACCUGAAACCCUGUACUUACAAGCUGUGGGAGCACAUUACUUGUGUGACCGCGUACUUUUUGUAGAACGGGCCAACGAGUUACGUUAAGUAGCAAGGUUAAGCACUUAAGGUGUGGAGCCGUAGCGAAAGCGAGUCUUAAAUGGGCAAUUUAAGUUACUUGGCGUAGACCCGAAACCGGGCGACCUAUCCAUGAGCAGGUUGAAGCGAAAGUAAAAUUUCGUGGAGGACCGAACCCACGAGCGUUGAAAAGCUCGGGGAUGACUUGUGGAUAGCGGUGAAAUUCCAAUCGAGCCCGGAGAUAGCUGGUUCUCCCCGAAAUAGCUUUAGGGCUAGCCUCAAGGUUGAGAGAAGCGGAGGUAGAGCACUGAAUGUCCUAGGGGGUAUUGCACUUACCGAAGACUAUCAAACUCCGAAUGCCGUAUUCUUAUACUUGGGAGUCAGACUGUGGGUGAUAAGAUUCAUAGUCAAAAGGGCAACAGCCCAGAUCGUCAGCUAAGGUCCCUAAAUGUACGUUAAGUGGUAAAGGAUGUGGGAUUGCACAGACAACCAGGAUGUUGGCUUAGAAGCAGCCACUCAUUUAAAGAGUGCGUAAUAGCUCACUGGUCGAGUGAUCCUGCGCCGAAAAUUUCCGGGGCUAAAACGUACUACCGAAGCUACGGCAUCAUUAUGAUGGGUAGGGGAGCUUCGUAUGCAGGUUGAAGCAUGACCGUAAGGACAUGUGGACAGUAUACGAGUGAGAAUGUUGGCAUGAGUAGCGAGAUGUGGGUGAGAAUCCCACAGGCCGUAAACCCAAGGUUUCCAGGGGAAGGUUCGUCCGCCCUGGGUUAGUCAGGACCUAAGCCGAGGCCGAAAGGCGUAGGUGAUGGACAACAGGUUGAUAUUCCUGUACCACCAAUAACCGUUUGAGAAAUGGGAUGACACAGAAGGAUAAGCUAACCGUACUGUUGGUUAUGUACGGCUAAGCAUUGAGGCAGUCUAAAUAGGCAAAUCCGUUUAGACAAUGCUAGGAUGUGAUGGGGAAGCCCUUCGGGGCGAAGUAGCUGAUUUCACACUGUCAAGAAAAGCUUCUAUCGAGUUUAAAGGCGCCCGUACCGUAAACCGACACAGGUGGGUGAGGAGAGUAUCCUAAGGCCAGCCAGAGAACUGUUGUUAAGGAACUCGGCAAAAUGACCCCGUAACUUCGGGAGAAGGGGUGCCUGUCUAUGACAGGCCGCAGAGAAUAGGCCCAAGCGACUGUUUACCAAAAACACAGGUUUCUGCUAAGUCGCAAGACGAUGUAUAGGAGCUGACGCCUGCCCGGUGCUGGAAGGUUAAGGGGAUCUGUUAGAGCAAUCGAAGCAGUGAACUUAAGCCCCAGUAAACGGCGGCCGUAACUAUAACGGUCCUAAGGUAGCGAAAUUCCUUGUCGGGUAAGUUCCGACCCGCACGAAAGGCGUAACGAUUUGGGCACUGUCUCAACAACAGACUGGGUGAAAUUGUAAUACCGGUGAAGAUGCCGGUUACCUGCGACAGGACGGAAAGACCCCAUGGAGCUUUACUGUAGCUUGACAUUGGGUCUUGGUACUACAUGUACAGGAUAGGUGGGAGACUAUGAAGCCGGAACGCCAGUUUCGGUGGAGUCAUCCUUGGGAUACCACCCUUGUAGUACUGGGACUCUAACCAUAGGCCAUGAAUCUGGUCUUGGGACACUGUCAGGUGGGCAGUUUGACUGGGGCGGUCGCCUCCUAAAAAGUAACGGAGGCGCUCAAAGGUUCUCUCAGUACGGUCGGAAAUCGUACGUAGAGUGUAAAGGCACAAGAGAGCUUGAUUGCAAGACAUACAGGUCGAGCAAGGACGAAAGUCGGACUUAGUGAUCCGGUGGUUCCGCAUGGAAGGGCCAUCGCUCAACGGAUAAAAGCUACCCUGGGGAUAACAGGCUUAUCUCCCCCAAGAGUCCACAUCGACGGGGAGGUUUGGCACCUCGAUGUCGGCUCA